CACUUUUUCAUUUAACUAUUUUGUCAUCAGCCUAUGCCAUAUCUGAUGGUUAUGUUUUCUUUUUUUUCUUUUGUGUUUACCCACAAUUCAUUUUAUUUCUUUUAAAAGUCUGUGUCCCUCUUCUGUAAAGACCCUAGAUUGGAAUCCUUCUACUGCCCCUUAGCACAGCACUGCCGCUCAUAUCGACCUUUUUCUCAUUUGGAGAAAGUUUAGUGUCUACAC